GUACUAAGUUGAUGUUGAGGACUAUGUUGGUAUCUGGAAUUUAAAUAGUAUAAUAGAUAAUAGUGAGCUUCUCACCCAAAAAUUUCCAGAUUCUAUUUAAAUUCCAGAUACCAACAUAGUCCUCAACAUCAACU
rnacentral:pre_miRNA from 1 species